rnacentral:rRNA from 1 species
UACGAAGGGGGGCUAGCGUUGUUCGGAUUUACUGGGCGUAAAGCGCACGUAGGCGGAUCGUUAAGUUAGGGGUGAAAUCCUGGAGCUCAACUCCAGAACUGCCUCUAAUACUGGCGAUCUAGAGUCCGGAAGAGGUGAGUGGAACUCCUAGUGUAGAGGUGGAAUUCGUAGAUAUUAGGAAGAACACCAGUGGCGAAGGCGGCUCACUGGUCCGGUACUGACGCUGAGGCGCGACAGCGUGGGGGAGCAAACAGG